UUAUGCCCCCCUUCGAAGAAGAGGGGGUAUAUUGCUUUGCUCAUGUCGGUCUGUCGGUCGGUCUGUCCGUCCACCAGGUGGUUGUCAGACGAUAACUCAAGAACGCUUGGGCCUAGGAUCAUAAAACUUCAUAGGUACAUUGAUCAUGACUCGCAGAUGACCCCUAUUGAUUUUGAGGUCACUAGGUCAAAGGUCAAGGUCACGGUGACCCGAAAUAGUAAAAUGGUUUCCGGAUGAUAACUCAAGAACGCAUACGCCUAGGAUCAUGAAACUUCAUGGGUAGAUUGAUCAUGACUCGCAGAUGACCCCUAUUGAUUUUGAGGUCACUAGGUCAAAGGUCAAGGUCACGGUGACCCGAAAUAGUAAAAUGGUUUUCGGAUGAUAACUCAAGAACGCAUACGCCUAGGAUCAUGAAACUUCAUAGGUAGAUUGAUCAUGACUUGCAGAUUACCCCUAUUGAUUUUGAGGUCACAAGGUCAAAGGUCAAGGUCACGGUGAC